rnacentral:RNase_P_RNA from 1 species
UGAGUAAACUGGGCAGUCGCGAGAGCGGAAAUGCUUUCGAGGAAAGUCCGAGCUCCGCAGGGCAGGGUGCUGGGUAACGCCCAGUGGGGGUGACCCUAAGGAGAGUGCCACAGAAAUAAACCGCCUCAUCCGGAAAUUGUUCCGCUUGAGGUAAGGGUGCAACGGUGCGGUAAGAGCGCACCAGGGGCCGGGCGACCGGUCCGCUAGGUAAACCCCACCCGGAGCAAGACCGAAUAGGGGAGAACAUGAAGUUGCCCGCUGAGUCUCCCGGGUAAGAGUCGCUGGAGGCACCAGGCAACUGGCGCCCUAGAUAGAUGGCUGCCACUUCUUUGUAAGGAGAACAGAACUCGGCUUACAGGUUUGCUCAUCUA